rnacentral:rRNA from 1 species
AAUUCCGUGCCAGCAGCCGCGGUAAUACGGGAGUGGCAAGCGUAUCCGGAAUUAUUGGGCGUAAAGCGUCCGCAGGCGGCUUUUCAAGUCUGCUGUUAAAGCGUGGAGCUUAACUCCAUCAUGGCAGUGGAAACUGAAAGGCUUGAGUAUGGUAGGGGCAGAGGGAAUUCCCGGUGUAGCGGUGAAAUGCGUAGAUAUCGGGAAGAACACCAGUGGCGAAGGCGCUCUGCUGGGCCAUUACUGACGCUCAUGGACGAAAGCCAGGGGAGCGAAAGGGAUUAGAUACCCCUGUAGUCCUGGCCGUAAACGAUGAACACUAGGUGUCGGGGGAAUCGACCCCUUCGGUGUCGUAGCUAACGCGUUAAGUGUUCCGCCUGGGGAGUACGCACGCAAGUGUGAAACUCAAAGGAAUUGACGGGGGCCCGCACAAGCGGUGGAGUAUGUGGUUUAAUUCGAUGCAACGCGAAGAACCUUACCAGGGUUUGACAUCCUGCGAACCUCUUAGAAAUUUGAGGGUGCCUUCGGGAAUGCAGUGACAGGUGGUGCAUGGCUGUCGUCAGCUCGUGUCGUGAGAUGUUGGGUUAAGUCCCGCAACGAGCGCAACCCACGUUUUUAGUUGCCAGCAUUUAGUUGGGCACUCUAGAAAGACCGCCGGUGAUAAACCGGAGGAAGGUGUGGAUGACGUCAAGUCAUCAUGCCCCUUACACCCUGGGCUACACACGUACUACAAUGCUACGGACAAAGGGCAGCAAACUCGCGAGAGCUAGCAAAUCCCAUAAACCGUGGCUCAGUUCAGAUCGUAGGCUGCAACUCGCCUACGUGAAGUAGGAAUCGCUAGUAAUCGCAGGUCAGCAUACUGCGGUGAAUACGUUCCCGGGCCUUGUACACACCGCCCGUCACACCAUGGAAGUCGGCCAUGCCCGAAGUCGUUACUCCAACCCUUGUGGAGGAGGACG